ensembl:lncRNA
CUUGAGUCGAAGUGUUGGAGUGCAUUAAUUGAAAAAACCAAAGACAGUAAAGUGGGCGUGGUUAGGCCGUGCAUUCAGACAGGAAACAGCGGAGUCUCUCGGUGUUGCUCGCCCAAAGUAGCGCGACACACUUUAUUGUUUCCUAAACAAUUACGCCGGUAUUGCUUCUUACAAGUAUUGUUCAAAUAUCCUCCCACCCCCAGUUUGGCGUUGGGUUUUUCCAGACACUUCAAACGAACCACCGGCGGAGAGCUGAAAACACGGCCAUAAAAACAACUGGGUUUCACAAAGAUUUAACCGUCCUCAUAAACACGACACGUUUGGAUUCUAGGAAUGCUGUAACAAGGCAUGCACACACAAUAUAAACAUUGACAUUUCAAUACUUCAUAACUUAACAAUAUAAAAUGUCAAAAGGCAUCCAAAUACAAUAGUAUACCAAUUCUGCAAAAUUACAACUACUAAGUACAAAUAAACCCUUUUACUGCAUUCCAAGUCUGGAAAAAAAGUAUAUUCAAGUAUUAUUAAAGUAAACACAACACUUUCUAAAUAACAAACCCUGAGUAUUUUUCGCUAUACAGUGAUAACUGAACAGAUGUUCACGACAUUGUAGGCCAGGCGGUCUUCAAGUAAACCCUCUUGUUGGCCCCCAGGUGAACACAGGCAUCUAAUGACGUCAUGCUAGGAGCUACAGGGAGUCCUGUAGACACAAGUCCUUCUUUUUUGAUCUAAAUCAAAAAACCUUGGUCCAUGGUCCAUCCGGAUAUAAAGACCCACAACAAUGGUACGUUCUACAGGGAUAUUCAAAAAACUGUAAAAACAAUAUAUAUAUAUAUUUUUUUUUUACAGUGACGAUGGCAAAGCAUUUCAUUUGCAAUGGCCUCAAGCAACCUCAUCCAAACAUUAAUCCUCAACACACAGAAGGCCUCCAGCCCCUCAGCCCAGCCGUUGGAGUUCAGGCCCAAAGCUCUGGACUUGGGACCGGUUGGCCUCUCGGUUACAAAAGGACCGGGCACUACAACAGAACCAGCAAACACUGUCUGCCCUUGGCAGCCCCACAGCAGGUUUUUGAGGCGAGAUCUAGACACCUAGAAGUGGACUCGACUCAUACAGUGGUGUACGCCUCUCCAGGCUCCGACGGUAAACAAGCUACUCUUGGUGAAGCUACUGUGGUAGGGCUGUGGUGGGGGGGGUAAAGUGUCUCAGAGGAAACACCCUUAUUGCCUUACUGUCCUCCUGCCCUAGUGCCCACGGGCCAUCUGCUGCGGGCCGUCCGUCAGUUAGAGCUCUCCGUGGCGUGGCACCAGCAUCAAGGGGGGGGAUGAAGAAGGGGACAACUGUUUUAAGACGGGCCUGGGGAGAUGAUGCGACGGAGGGGUUGGGUGUGUGUCUGCGGGGAAGAGGGGGGUGCUGGGUGUGUGUCUGACAGGAGGGGGGAGCCUUUCCCCGACCUUGGGCUGAGCAACAGGAUCCCCGACCUGCGCGCCGCAGGGCAUUCCUGGGCUGGGGCCGAUCGUCUUACACGCCUGCGGCGGUGUCACCGAGAGGAUAACAGGGCUCCGCGUCAGACGGCACUCACACACUGCACUGCUGUGGGUGUGUUUCUGUUUGGCAGAAGCCACCUGCGUGUGUGUGUGUGUGUGUGUGUGUGUGUGUGUGUGUGUGUGUGUGAGUGUGUGUGUGAAUGUGUGUGCGAAUGUGUGUGUGUGUGUGUGUGUGUUGUGUGUGUGCGAAUGUGUGUGUGCGAGUGUGCGAGUGUGCGAGUGUGUGUGUGUGUGUGUGUUUAGACAAUCGCUCUAUUGCCAUCAGAUGGAGUUAUGCUGUUGCAAUUUGUAUAACAGUUUUUGCCAUAGCCCUAAUGCCUGAAUGGAUGGCGUUUGGGACUCUUAACAGAUUGUUUGUGCAUUACAUUUCCAGGGGGGGGUUACAUGCACAGACAGCGGUCGGGCCAGCAUGCCGUCGGGGCCCGGGCCACGGGCUCCUCCUCUGGAUGUCAUCUGUGCUCGGGCUCGUGGGCCUGGAACAGCCUGCUGUACGCAGACGG